rnacentral:pre_miRNA from 1 species
GUGCCUACUGAGCUGAUAACAGUUACUAUCUUACAUACUGGCUCAGUUCAGCAGGAACAG